AGUAGAUGGCGGUAUCCAUCAAAGAGCUAUAAAUCCGCCUAUGAGAAGAAGAAGAAGCAUAUGAUCACAACAAGAAUUUAUAAACAGGAGCAGGAAUAUCAGACUUGAAUUGGGUUUUACCCUUGGACACAAUGCAGAGCUGGAUUCUGGUUCAGAAAUUUCCAAGGCCACGCACACAUGCAGUGUUGCCGGCCCCACGCAGUUUUCGGCCAGGUGUCGAAGCUCGACUUCUCUGCUGGACAGCCGAGUGACUUUCAUUGCUCACUGCUGACUUUGCUCAUAGAUUAAACACCGUGGCUGCGUUUGAGAUGAGCGGGGUCCUCUUUAGAUAAUCCAAUAAGCGUCACCAAACAGAGAUUUGAACAGCGGCAUUAAUGUUUGUAUAUGCCUUCAACGAUAAUCCACACUUCUCACAAAAGAUGGGCAAUUAACUAAACCGCCAUGACAGACUCAUUGGGCAAAUAAAUUCCAUUUUCACUCUUAUU